rnacentral:rRNA from 1 species
AUUGACGCUGGCGGCAUGCUUUACACAUGCAAGUCGAACGGUAACAGGCCUUCGGGUGCUGCCGAGUGGCGAACGGGUGAGUAAUGCAUCGGAACGUGCCCAGAGGUGGGGGAUAACGCAGCGAAAGCUGUGCUAAUACCGCAUGUGAUCUGAGGAUGAAAGCGGGGGACCAGGCAGCAAUGUUUGGCCUCGCGCCUUUGGAGCGGCCGAUGUCAGAUUAGGUAGUUGGUGGGGUAAAGGCCUACCAAGCCGACGAUCUGUAGCUGGUCUGAGAGGACGACCAGCCACACUGGGACUGAGACACGGCCCAGACUCCUACGGGAGGCAGCAGUGGGGAAUUUUGGACAAUGGGCGCAAGCCUGAUCCAGCAAUGCCGCGUGCGGGAAGAAGGCCUUCGGGUUGUAAACCGCUUUUGUACGGAACGAAAAGGCUCUGGCUAAUACCUGGGGCUGAUGACGGUACCGUAAGAAUAAGCACCGGCUAACUACGUG